rnacentral:rRNA from 1 species
GGCGAACGCUGGCGGCGUGCUUAACACAUGCAAGUCGAACGGAAAGGCCCCUUUUGGGGUACUCGAUUGGCGCACGGGUGUGUAUCACGUGAGUAUCCUGUCCUUUUCUUCCUGAUAUCUUCAUGAAACUCUGGCUAUUACCCGAUAGGAAUCCUUGCUCCAUGUUGUGGGUUUUAAAGCUUCGGCUGUUUUGGAUGGACUCUCGGGUUAUCUGCUUGUUGGUGGGGUAGUGGGUUACCAAGGCUUUGACGGGUAUCCGGCCUGAGAGGGCGACCGGCCACAUUGGGACUGGGAUAAGGCCCAGACUCCUAAGGGAGGCAGCAGUGGGGAAUAUUGCAAAAAGGGCGGAAGCCUGAUGCAGCAACGCCGCGGGGGGGAUGAAGGCCUUCGGGUUGUAAACCGCUUUCAGCAGGGGAGAAGCUUGUAGUGACGGUACCUGCAGAAGAAGCACCGGCUAACUACGUG